rnacentral:rRNA from 1 species
UACGGAGGGGGAUAGCGUUGUUCGGAAUUACUGGGCGUAAAGCGUACGUAGGCGGCUUUGUAAGUUAGAGGUGAAAGCCCGGGGCUCAACCCCGGAAUUGCCUUUAAGACUGCAUCGCUUGAACGUCGGAGAGGUGAGUGGAAUUCCGAGUGUAGAGGUGAAAUUCGUAGAUAUUCGGAAGAACACCAGUGGCGAAGGCGGCUCACUGGACGACUGUUGACGCUGAGGUGCGAAAGCGUGGGGAGCGAACGGG